AUUAACAUCUUCAAAAAGAAGGAUUUUUCAACUUAGGUUGCUUUAUACAUUAGAACAGAAAAUCCAGGCUGUUUUGAAAGUGUUGAAUGAAAUCCCAUUGAAAUCAGCGGAAGGAUUCCUCUGACUCCAGUAGUUUUUAUCUCCACUUUGAAUUGAGGGAAAUGGAAAGCAAUAUUUUAUUUUAGUAUGAAUGUCAGACAAAAAAACUUCAAGCCAAAGUAUGAACACCAGAUCUGGACUCUGAGAGAAGUGCACAUCCUGAAGUUCUUCCCCAAAGGUCUGCUGCCUUGCCAUAGUUGCAAGCCACAACAGCAAGAAAAGAUAUAUUAAUCUAAGCAUUUUAAGGAAACGAGGAGAAUCCAGAACUACAUGCAAUUCAUACAAGUCAAAUAGAAGAGCUGCACUCACAUUAUCUCAGAAGCAAGGUGUUUUUUUCUGAAGUUCAGUCAUAUAUGAGCAUUUGACAUAAAAUUCAUAAAGGUCAAACUGGUGAGAUUUUCAAAACUACAUAAAUGCCUUUAA